AAUGAACGCUGGCGGCAGGCCUAACACAUGCAAGUCGAACGGAUCCUUCGGGAUUAGUGGCGGACGGGUGAGUAACGCGUGGGAACGUGCCCUUUGGUUCGGAAUAGCCUCGGGAAACUGGGAGUAAUACCGGAUAAGCCCUUCGGGGGAAAGAUUUAUCGCCAAAGGACCGGCCCGCGUUGGAUUAGGUAGUUGGUGGGGUAAUGGCCUACCAAGCCGACGAUCCAUAGCUGGUUUGAGAGGAUGAUCAGCCACACUGGGACUGAGACACGGCCCAGACUCCUACGGGAGGCAGCAGUGGGGAAUCUUAGACAAUGGGGGAAACCCUGAUCUAGCCAUGCCGCGUGAUCGAUGAAGGCCUUAGGGUUGUAAAGAUCUUUCAGUUGGGAAGAUAAUGACGGUACCAACAGAAGAAGCCCCGGCUAACUCCGUGCCAGCCGCCGCAGUAAGAC
rnacentral:rRNA from 1 species